rnacentral:rRNA from 1 species
AGAUUGAACGCUGGCGGCAGGCCUAACACAUGCAAGUCGAGCGGCAGCACGGGUACUUGUACCUGGUGGCGAGCAGCGGACGGGUGAGUAAUGCCUAGGAAUCUGCCUGGUAGUGGGGGAUAACGCUCGGAAACGGACGCUAAUACCGCAUACGUCCUACGGGAGAAAGCAGGGGACCUUCGGGCCUUGCGCUAUCAGAUGAGCCUAGGUCGGAUUAGCUAGUUGGUGAGGUAAUGGCUCACCAAGGCGACGAUCCGUAACUGGUCUGAGAGGAUGAUCAGUCACACUGGAACUGAGACACGGUCCAGACUCCUACGGGAGGCAGCAGUGGGGAAUAUUGGACAAUGGGCGAAAGCCUGAUCCGGCCAUGCCGCGUGUGUGAAGAAGGUCUUCGGAUUGUAAAGCACUUUAAGUUGGAGGAAGGCAGUUACCUAAUACGUAUCUGUUUGACGUUACGACAGAAUAAGCACCGGCUAACUCUGUG